rnacentral:snoRNA from 1 species
AAGACUGUACUUUCAGGGAUCAUUUCUGUAGGUCAUUAUAUGUCCAUUGGAAAACAGGCACCUUAUACAUUACUGGUAGAUGUGCAGAAUGGUACUUUCCCUAUGGAGGAAAAUAUCCUGAAGA